UACGUAGGGGGCAAGCGUUGUCCGGAUUUAUUGGGCGUAAAGAGCGUGUAGGCGGCUAUACAGGUCCGCUGUGAAAACUCGAGGCUCAACCUCGAGACGUCGGUGGAAACCGUAUGGCUAGAGUCCGGAAGAGGAGAGUGGAAUUCCUGGUGUAGCGGUGGAAUGCGCAGAUAUCAGGAGGAACACCAAUAGCGAAGGCAGCUCGCUGGGACGUUACUGACACUGAGGCGCGAAAGCGUGGGGAGCGAACAGG
rnacentral:rRNA from 1 species